rnacentral:rRNA from 1 species
AGUGAACGCUGGCGGUAUGCCUAACACAUGCAAGUCGAACGGCAGCACAGUAAGAGCUUGCUCUUACGGGUGGCGAGUGGCGGACGGGUGAGGAAUACAUCGUAAUCUACUUUUUCGUGGGGGAUAACGUAGGGAAACUUACGCUAAUACCGCAUACGACCUACGGGGGAAAGCAGGGGAUCUUCGGACCUUGCGCGAUUGAAUGAGCCGAUGUCGGAUUAGCUAGUUGGCGGGGUAAAGGCCCACCAAGGCGACGAUCCGUAGCUGGUCUGAGAGGAUGAUCAGCCACACUGGAACUGAGACACGGUCCAGACUCCUACGGGAGGCAGCAGUGGGGAAUAUUGGACAAUGGGCGCAAGCCUGAUCCAGCCAUACCGCGUGGGUGAAGAAGGCCUUCGGGUUGUAAAGCCCUUUUGUUGGGAAAGAAAAGCAGCAGGUUAAUACCCCGCUGUUCUGACGGUACCCAAAGAAUAAGCACCGGCUAACUUCGUG